GAUGAACGCUGGCGGCGUGCCUAAUACAUGCAAGUCGAGCGCGAGCGUAAGGAGCUUGCUCCUUACAAUCGAGCGGCGGACGGGUGAGUAACACGUGGGCAACCUACCCUUUAGACUGGGAUAACUACCGGAAACGGUAGCUAAUACCGGAUAAGUUGGAUUACAUAAGUAAUCUUAAUGAAAGGCGGAUUUAUCUGUCACUAAAGUAUGGGCCUGCGGUGCAUUAGCUAGUUGGUGAGGUAGUGGCUCACCAAGGCAACGAUGCAUAGCCGACCUGAGAGGGUGAUCGGCCACACUGGGACUGAGACACGGCCCAGACUCCUACGGGAGGCAGCAGUAGGGAAUCUUCCGCAAUGGACGCAAGUCUGACGGAGCAACGCCGCGUGAGUGAAGAAGGGUUUCGGCUCGUAAAACUCUGUUGUUAAGGAAGAACACUUUAGGUAGUAACUGGCCUAGAGAUGACGGUACUUAACCAGAAAGCCACGGCUAACUACGUGCCAGCCGCCGCAGUAA
rnacentral:rRNA from 1 species